UGAGAAUGCAGAAAUUCAAGAAUUCCUAUGCACAAGUUAUAUACAUGAAUGUAGUAACCUAUAGGCAUGCUGUCUGUGCGAAUAUAAGAAUCAAAAAGGUCCUAUAGACAAGUUAUCUACAUGAAUGCAGUAACCUAUAUGCAUCCUGCCUAUGUGAAUGCAAGAAUAAGAAAAAUCCUAUAGCCAUGUUAUCUACCCUUUGCAUACAUUCAUCUGCAUCCCUUUCCACUAACCAUCCCCAUAGUUAAUACAAAUUAUUAUAGACCAAAAUGAACAAGAAAAAGUAAAAAUUACAUCAAAAAUUCAAGCUACACCCAAAUAGCCUAAUUCAGACUUAAGGUGUAACAAUAUGAGAUAAACUAACUUCCAGGAUCAGAUUUCCAAAAGCCUUUCUCUUAUUUGGGAUGUGUCAAAGUUCCUUGGAGUCUCAAAGUCUCUGGGCAGUGCUUACACCACAAAUACGUUGUAAAAUUAGAUCAUAAUGCAGUGCGGAAGGCCCAGCCCUCAAAUUUUCAAGUUCAUAAAGAACUCAAGGUCCCAAAGCAAGGCUCAUGAGAGGGGAGCAGAAAUUAGAGUCUAAGAGUAAGUAUAAGUGCAUAAAGAGGGAAUUAGGGAAAGCCAUGAUAAGAUGUGGUAAUGCCCAGCAAGUCGAAGUGCUGGCACACCCCUAACCAACCUGUUAGCCCAAUCUUAGGAGUUAGGAUCAAUUGUGGAUCAGGUUAUGACCUGGACAGUAAUUUGGAUACUACCAAGCCAAGAACCUUAACUCAAACACAUAGAGGGGAAUAUGUUAGGGAUUCACAAUUGCAACUGAUGCAAGGAAAGAACAUACAUAGUCUAAUUACUGAACAUCAGUAGCAAAGUAAACAAGAACGUUGAAACUAUGAAGUAAACACAUAGGGAUGAAGCAGAAAAGUAAAUCAGAACAUACCCGUUUCAGGGAAAAGCAAAGCGAAGUUGAAAGAAAAACAACUCCAAACGAUCUCAAGAAAAAAAAGGAUAUUGAAAGAGUAUGGAAUUCAAAGUGGUAAAGGUGUGGGAGUAUUGAAUUGGGAGUUAGGACGAUUGUCCUUGCGGUGUAUUUAAGAGUGCAGUAGGCAGUCCCUUUUAUAGUGCAGAAAACAAGUAAGAAACGUU
rnacentral:lncRNA from 1 species